ACUCCUCGGAGGCUUCCCUUCCCCCACUCCGCCCCUCGGAGAAGAGGCGGCUCCGCGCGCAGUGUGUGUACAGUUUGCAUUGCCAACAACACGCGCGCGCGGCCUGGUGCGCGCGCUCGCCAGCGCACACUCACACACAUAGACACACACACACAUACAGAGACACACACACUCACACACACACACACACAGAUCCGGGUGGGGGGAGCGGCAGCGCGAGACAGCGCGAGCCUCCGAGAAAGCGCGAGACACGCCGGCGCGUGCAGCUCUGCAGCGGCCGCUGCGCCCCGGCUCGAGCCCCGCGCCACCCGCAGCCAGCCGGUGAGCGCCGGCCGGGGUUAUUUAUGCGGCAGCCGCGUCCGCCAGCUGCGGCUUCCUUCGGCACCCCCCUUGGCGCGCUCCCACUUGCGGCAGCAGCUGCAGGGACUCGCGCGUGGGUGUGUUGUUUGGGGGCUUCUGCCUCCGCGCCACGGGUGCCACCUCCCGGGACGCUGCCCCGGCGUGUCCGGCCGCGGUAAGUUUCUUCGCCCUCACUCUGGCGCGCUGCACCUCCGCCCCCUACCCCGUCCCAGCCACCUCCACUCCCGGCGGGGCUUCGACUUUACUCUGCUCAGCUCUCCUCCUGCCGCGGCGGCGGCAAAGUUUCGCCCCUGCCUCUGCGCUCAGCGCGGCGGAGCGAGUGUGACAUGUGUCAAAUCUCGGCUCGGCUUCGGGGUCGCCUUCCGGACCCAACAUUGCCACUUGUUGUUCUUUUUCAUUUUGCUUUGUGAUGAGAGGAAGGGUGAGUCGAGAGGGGAGGUUGCUGUUGUCUCACGGAUAAUUUUUAGUUUUGAAUAUGCAAAAUGUUGCUUCGUCCAGAGAAACCGCGGCUGGAGGAAUAUGUAUGUGGAAACACCAGAUGUGUUUGUUUACUCUUUAAUUUUUGGGUUUUGUCCGUUUCGCUUCCUCUUCCCUCCCCACCUCCCUUCGGGAGGAGGGAGGAGAAAUAACAGUAAAAACCUGUGGUGGUUGGAAGCACACACUUUAUUGAUCCAACUGCUGACCUUUAUUUACUCAGUUGGGCAAGUGCACGCCUCUCGUCUGCAAGUUGGACACUUAAACGUACAUUUCACAAGUACUUCUCUGGGAACGGGAGGCAGAUAG
rnacentral:lncRNA from 1 species